rnacentral:rRNA from 1 species
GACGGAGGGUGCAAGCGUUGUUCGGAAUCACUGGGCGUAAAGCGCGUGUAGGCGGUUUGAUAAGUCGAAUGUGAAAGCCCGGGGCUCAACCUCGGAAGUGCAUUCGAAACUGACAGGCUUGAGUACGGGAGAGGGAAGUGGAAUUCCUGGUGUAGAGGUGAAAUUCGUAGAUAUCAGGAGGAACACCGGUGGCGAAGGCGGCUUCCUGGACCGAUACUGACGCUGAGACGCGAAAGCGUGGGGAGCAAACAGGAUUAGAUACCCUGGUAGUCCACGCCGUAAACGGUGAGCACUAGGUGUAGCGGGUAUUGACCCCUGCUGUGCCGCAGCUAACGCAUUAAGUGCUCCGCCUGGGAAGUACGGUCGCAAGAUUAAA